CAUUCUUCGGAAUGAGUGGCGCACGGCUGAGGAACACGUGACUAACCUACCCCGGUGUGGGGGAUAACGGGUCGAAAGACUCGCUAAUCCCGCAUACGAUCCGCCUCGGCGGAGGAAAGCCGUAAGGCGCACUGGGCGGGGGUCGCGUCCCAUUAGAUAGUUGGUGUGGUAAUGGCGCACCAAGUCGAUGAUGGGUCUCUGGUCUGAGAGGACGACCAGACAGAUUGGGACUGAGACACGGCCCAAACUCCUACGGGGGGCAGCAGCAAGGAAUUUUCGGCAAUGGGCGCAAGCCUGACCGAGCAACGCCGCGUGGAGGAUGACGGCUCUUGGGUUGUAAACUCCUUUUGGGGGGGACGAUAAUGACGGUACCCUCCGAAUCAGGCCCGGCUAACUACGUGCCAGCAGCCGCGGUAAUACGUAGGGGCCAAGCGUUGUCCGGAAUUACUGGGCGUAAAGCGUGGGUAGGUGGUCGGUGAUGUGCCGCGUGAAAGCGCCGGAGUAAUGCCGGCGAGGUCGCGGUAGACACACGGACUCGAGGCUCGCAGAGGAACGUGGAAUUCCCGGUGUAGUGGUGAAAUGCGUAGAUAUCGGGAGGAACACCAGUGGCGCAAGCGGCGUUCUGGGCGAGACCUGACACUGAGCCACGACGGCGUGGGGAGCAAACAGGAUUAGAUACCCUGGUAGUCCACGCAGUAAACGAUGCAUACCAGGUGUGGGAUGGCGUUCGCGUCGUUCCGUGCCGCAGCUUACGCGAUGAGUAUGCCGCCUGGGGACUACGAGCGCAAGCUUAAAACUCA
rnacentral:rRNA from 1 species